UGAUUGAUUAUCCAGAACUUGAGGAAAAAAUUCAUAUUUGGGUUUAAAAUUUUAAGGAUGGCUUCGCGCUUAGGUUCAUUUACAAAAACUAUUUUUUCCAAAGCAAUAGAACAAAAUUUAAAUAGAAAUAAACAGAAAUCUAUUUCAUAUCCGGUAUCAAAAAUAGAUUCUGUAGAGGCCGUUGUAAGAGAACAAUCCAGAAAAAAAGAUCAAACCAUUAAAAUGCGAAGCGAGUGGGUUGGAAAAAAGCGUUCCCAAUAUGCUGCUCCAAUUAUUGGAAAUCAUAGUGAUUAUGAUGAACGUUAUACAAAAACAGAAAAAACUGAAAGAACUGAUGACCAAAAGUAUCCAAAAAAAGUACCAGAUCUGGCUUUUCAGAAAGAUAGUAUGAAUUCGUUAAUAAGAAGUGGGAGUAAUGUGGAAAAACCCAAGGCCCUAAACACAUGUUACCUGCCGGAACACAUACAUAUGUUGAAAAUCACAGAGUCUUGGAAAAAAGAACCACUAUACAAACGAUUGCAGAGACUAAUCAAUGCAAACCAAAAGAACUAGAGCUUCUAUAACAACAUGUAUACUCCUAAAAUGAAAAAGUCGUAUUUAGAAAAUCUUACUCAACCAAGUACUAAAUUUUAAUAUCCGUAUAUUGAAUAAUACAUCUUGAAGAAGCAAUUGCUUCAAUUUAAAGAAAAUCAUCCUAAUUACUUGCGGUUAAGUGUAAUCUAUCUGAGCUUUCCAGGCAUUAUUGAAACAAUAUACAGCAUAUUAAUAAGUCAUUGGAGUAUACAGUAUGCAGCUCUUAAAAAGUGAAGGUUAAUUGAAUAUGAUUUCAAGAGAAAGUAAAUUUCACUAAUUCUUUCGAAAAAAUUUUAAAUUAAUUCUAGUUCUCUUCAAGCUAUAUUUAUGCACAUGGGAAAGGUACUUUUUCACUUAAGGAUCGAGCUGCAGGACUGAAUAUUGAGAAUGAGAAUAAUACUGGAAUUCUGUCAAAUGUAAUCCCUGCUGUAGAAUAAAUUUUAGGAUAAGCUAUUCCUCAUGAGACGAUCUGAUCUGAACAAAUCCAAAGAAGCUUAGUGUGACGAUUAAAAGAACUGAUCCAUACAACAUCAUUUUCAUAUACGAAUACGGCAGGGAUUCUUUUUUAUUAUCAACUCGUCAUUGACGAUCUAAUCAAUAUUAACUGAAGAAAUAAGUUCUACUUGGCGGAGACGACUUAGUCUGUAUAGAUUAUUGAUCAGUUCAGUGUCUUGGUCUUAUAUUGAUGGGACUGGGAUGUAUUACUAGUACUAUCAAAUUGUCGCUUCUAAUACUAUUGCACCAUUUUCUGAAUACAAACAAUAUUAAAUGUAAUAUUGUUGGUAUGGAGAAAUGUUUUUGGAAUAGAUUUAGUAGCUGAUGGUUGGUAUCUCCGGUUGAAACUGCAACGAACUAAUUGAUAUUACUUAACAAAAAUAGAGAUAAAAUCUAAGCGCAUUAGUGUGAAGCCAUUUAAAAAUAAAACUU